GACGAACGCCGGCGGCGUGCCUAAUACAUGCAAGUCGAGCGAAUGGAUUAAGAGCUUGCUCUUAUGAAGUUAGCGGCGGACGGGUGAGUAACACGUGGGUAACCUGCCCAUAAGACUGGGAUAACUCCGGGAAACCGGGGCUAAUACCGGAUAACAUUUUGAACCGCAUGGUUCGAAAUUGAAAGGCGGCUUCGGCUGUCACUUAUGGAUGGACCCGCGUCGCAUUAGCUAGUUGGUGAGGUAACGGCUCACCAAGGCAACGAUGCGUAGCCGACCUGAGAGGGUGAUCUGCAACACUGGGACUGAGACACGGCCCAGACUCCUACGAGAGGCAGCAGUAGGGAAUCUUCCGCAAUGGACGAAAGUCUGACGGAGCAACGCCGCGUGAGUGAUGAAGGCUUUCGGGUCGUAAAACUCCGUUGUUAGGGAAGAACAAGUGCUAGUUGAAUAAGCUGGCACCUUGACGGUACCUAACCAGAAAGCCACGGCUAACUACGUGCCAGCCGCCGCCGUAA
rnacentral:rRNA from 1 species